rnacentral:lncRNA from 1 species
GGCCCUGCCAGUGUCUCCGCCGGUUGAAAGCGCGUGUCUGCGUCGGGUUCUGUUGGAGUGCGUUCGGUGCGCCGUGGGUCCGCGCUGCUUCCACCCAACUUCCUGUUAGUUUCUCUCCUGUCACAAUGGCAUGAUCUCGGCUCACUGCGACCUCUGCUUCCUGGGUUCAAGGAUUCUCCUGCCUCAGCCUCCCAAGUAGCUGGGAUUACAGGAAUCUCACCAGUGACACGCGUUUGUGAAAAGCUGUGAAUAUUCAGUGCCACAGGGUUAAACCUCGGUACAGAAGCGAGACCCUGCUGGGCAGAGAAAGGGUGACCUGGAAGGUGUGUGAGGGCCCCGCCCAUGGGCCCCUGUGAUGGUCAUGGCCUCAAGAAUCACAGUCCAGGUUACAUUAGUUAUACACUCUGGAGGUGACUUGACCUGUCAUUGUGAACAAUUAUUGCUCUUGGACGACCCAGGACAUAGGCCAGCCAGUACGUACCCCAGUGUGUUGGAGAAUCGCGCUCGGCUUCUUCCUCUGUGCUGAGUCAUGAAAGUUGCCGGAGCAGGUGCAGUUACACAACCUCCAGGUAUGAUCCUGUUUAAGGACUGGAUUUAGGAUAACUACUUAGAGGUUAAAAGUCACAAGGGUGUAUGGAUGAGGCUGGAGUGAUCUGGGACCAAAGACAUCUAGGCUUGCUGUCAAGGCUUCUGAUCAACAUGAGAUGACCGCCGUGUGGUAAACUGA